AUCUUUUUUGUCUUUCAAACAGAUGCCACCACUAUCUUUUGGUCCUCAGCAAUAUACAACUUGGUCCAGUAUAUUAUACCUUCCAAAUAAUGCAUAAACAAAACAGAUAACCAACUGGCGAUUUGAUCCUUCAUGUGGGACGCUAUUUAAUUGAACAAACACUUGUAAAGUCGCAGCAGCAAUGAGAAAAACCCUUCGUCGGAGAUAAUUAGAAGCAAACAGAAAGAGAGAUUCCG
rnacentral:misc_RNA from 1 species